AUUGAACGCUGGCGGCAUGCCUUACACAUGCAAGUCGAACGGUAACGGGCCUUCGGGUGCCGACGAGUGGCGAGCGGGUGAGUAAUACAUCGGAACGUGCCCGAUCGUGGGGGAUAACGAGGCGAAAGCUUUGCUAAUACCGCAUACGAUCUACGGAUGAAAGCAGGGGACCGCAAGGCCUUGCGCGGACGGAGCGGCCGAUGGCAGAUUAGGUAGUUGGUGGGAUAAAAGCUUACCAAGCCGACGAUCUGUAGCUGGUCUGAGAGGAUGAUCAGCCACACUGGGACUGAGACACGGCCCAGACUCCUACGGGAGGCAGCAGUAGGGAAUUUUGGACAAUGGGCGCAAGCCUGAUCCAGCCAUGCCGCGUGCAGGAUGAAGGCCUUCGGGUUGUAAACUGCUUUUGUACGGAACGAAAAGCCUUCUUUUAAUACAGGAGGGUCAUGACGGUACCGUAAGAAUAAGCACCGGCUAACUACGUG
rnacentral:rRNA from 1 species